GCCGAAGUGGUUGAAAUUGGUAGACACGCUAUCUUGAGGGUAGUGGAGACCCGUCGGGUUCAAGUCCCGGCUUCGGCACCA
rnacentral:tRNA from 1 species